CAGAGAUCACACACGUCUUGUAGUCAUACCCAUUCAUACGGUCUGUCAGAGUUCUGAUAGGCUAAAUGCAGUCAGCUGACACUCUAUGCCAAUCACAGCUGCCCAUUGCUGCUUCGGCUAAUACUUCCUCAUAGCCAGCGCAUCACAGAGGGGAUGGACUGCUGGGGAUUCUCAUUUAGCAUUAAACAAUAAAAACAUUAUACACUGUUUAAUGCUGAAUUAAAUCAGGGUACCUGGGGACUCCAGACACUAUAACCAGUUUAAUGAGAGGAAGCACAUGGUACCUACAGUGUCCUUUUAAAGAAUUCCACAGCCAAUUUAAAAAAAAGCUACAAUCUGAGCAUUCAAAUAAAUUGAGCAUUUUAUUUAUGUCAUGUUGAUAGCCACAAACUAAAAUACAC